AUGGCUCAGGACGAACGCUGGCGGCGUGCCUAAUACAUGCAAGUCGAGCGGAACCAGUGGAGCUUGCUCCAUUGGUUUAGCGGCGGACGGGUGAGUAACACGUGGGCAACCUGCCCUGCAGAUCGGGAUAACUCCGGGAAACCGGUGCUAAUACCGAAUAGUUUGCGGCCUCUCAUGAGGCUGCACGGAAAGACGGUUUCGGCUGUCACUGCAGGAUGGGCCCGCGGCGCAUUAGCUAGUUGGUGGGGUAACGGCCCACCAAGGCGACGAUGCGUAGCCGACCUGAGAGGGUGAUCGGCCACACUGGGACUGAGACACGGCCCAGACUCCUACGGGAGGCAGCAGUAGGGAAUCUUCCGCAAUGGACGAAAGUCUGACGGAGCAACGCCGCGUGAGUGAAGAAGGUUUUCGGAUCGUAAAACUCUGUUGUGAGGGAAGAACAAGUACCAGCUAACUACUGGUACCUUGACGGUACCUCACCAGAAAGCCACGGCUAACUACGUGCCAGCAGCCGCGGUAAUACGUAGGUGGCAAGCGUUGUCCGGAAUUAUUGGGCGUAAAGCGCGCGCAGGCGGUCCUUUAAGUCUGAUGUGAAAGCCCACGGCUCAACCGUGGAGGGUCAUUGGAAACUGGGGGACUUGAGUGCAGAAGAGGAAAGUGGAAUUCCACGUGUAGCGGUGAAAUGCGUAGAGAUGUGGAGGAACACCAGUGGCGAAGGCGACUUUCUGGUCUGUAACUGACGCUGAGGCGCGAAAGCGUGGGGAGCAAACAGG
rnacentral:rRNA from 1 species